ensembl:miRNA Gm25865 predicted gene, 25865
GAUGUGACCUUGUUGGAGGAAGUGUGUCACUCGGGCUAGGCUUUGGGGUUUCAGAAAUCCAAGUCAGGCCCAGGGGCUCUCUCUCUUCCUGCUGCCUGCUGAUC